rnacentral:rRNA from 1 species
UNUAAUUUUUAAAUUUUCUUAGUUUUUUAACUAAAAUAGUUUGGCAGCGAGUGAAUCCUAUUAGGGGAAGGUGUGUUUUAAAGGAUGGUCCGCCUAUUAAUUUACUUUUAUUAUGUUGGUGUAUAUCUGGUUUGAUAUUAUUGCUUAGUAGCUUAAUUUGUGUAUUUGAUAUUUAAGCCAAGUCUAUGUGCUGCUUGUAAAAAGAUUUCAUGCGUUACAUUUAUAGUAUAUUUAUCAUGUGAAUAGAUGUAAAUUUAGGACUUAAAAGUAAUAUAGAAUUAGUUUGUCUAUGUG